rnacentral:lncRNA from 1 species
UGUUGACAUGCUAACAAAAAUUCUUCUACGAUUGAUUAUUAUAAGUAGGCAAAGUGGAAUAUCUGUGCACUCUCAAAAGUAUAAGAAAUGGUGUGUGAAAUGUAAAGGAUUUGACUCCCUUCUUUGUUUUGCUACAGGAUGAUGGCAUCUCUGAAGAAAUGGAAGGGACCGUCGAUGGAUUGUCUGAACAAGUCUCCAGGAUGCACUCCUAGUGCAGCAAUGGCAGACGAUGAUAGGUGCAAGAUUUCUGUGAGGCACACCAGUUGCUGAUAAAUAUAGAAGCAGAAUACUGCACUGCAAAUUUCGACCUGGGACGAUGCAACAGCCAGCCCGAGAUGAUUUGGGUCCCUUCUUAUUCCCACGCAUGUUCACAUAUUCUUGUUGCCAUCAUGCUGUCUCUAUAGAAGCCCUGCAUGAAUUGAUGAAUUAUCAUCACUCAGAUGUUACACUAGAUUAGUCCAUGGAGUCAUGGAGAAAAGAAGAGCAGCCAGCUUGUGCGCCAUGUGAGCAUGUUCAUUUCCAGUGUGAUCUACUCAUAUCCAUGCUUUUUGUAAUGGCAUAUGAAACAGUUGUCAGUGAGACGGGACAGUAAUCUCUUUCUCUUUGAAGAAUUUGUUCAUUUUCAGUUUGCCUAGCGAAUUUCAGAACCUAGCUGGGUGCUUAAACAUCAUGUCAUACGAAUUUUCCAACCAAGAUGAAUGUUACAUUAUAUAAUUACAAUCAGAGAUUUAGAAUGACAAUGAAAUCGGGGAACAUAUACCAGAGUUAACGAAGGAGAUUCAUGCGGAGAGAGAGGUGUUUGGGCGGCUGGGCGACCGACGUCCCGGCGCCGGCGGAAUCGCUCCCCACCCCCUCGCCGGCUCGCCCGCCGCCGCACGCAUCCCUCCUGGCGUCUCCCCCUCUUCGUCGGCGGCGCGGUGCGUGAUCACCACCUGCGUCGUGGCCAACCGUCCGGCGGCCGCCAUGCGACAGUGCGAGGUUCCCGAUGUCGUGGCGGCACAGCGGGUCCAGCCGCUUCGUCGCCGGCGUGCUGCGCGUCCACGACGGCGGUGGACGCGGCGACGGGAUAUGGAUUUCGUGCGGCCCAAUAUACGGGUCCGGCCUGCGAAAGGGCCUGUAGCCCAGUGGUUACAAGGGUACCAGUAGCACCUAAGGUUCUGGGUUUGACUCCUGGUUGGAGCGAAUAUUCUAGGAUUUUCUUCUGGUUAGAGCGAAUAUUCUAGGAUUUUCUAACGGCUUUGUGCUUUCAGGGAUAGGCGUUGUCCCCGCUGAUCAGGCUUCGGAGAUGCUCAUAUGAGUAGGGUUUACGUGCGUACGUUCUUAGGAGAGAGUGUGCAUACGUUGUGAGCAUAUGCGUUGUGCUGUGUUCUCUCAAAA